rnacentral:rRNA from 1 species
GACAGAGGAUGCAAGCGUUAUCCGGAAUGAUUGGGCGUAAAGCGUCUGUAGGUGGCUUUUUAAGUCCGCCGUCAAAUCCCAGGGCUCAACCCUGGACAGGCGGUGGAAACUACCAAGCUGGAGUACGGUAGGGGCAGAGGGAAUUUCCGGUGGAGCGGUGAAAUGCGUAGAGAUCGGAAAGAACACCAACGGCGAAGGCGGGUCUCUGGGCCGUUACUGACGCUGAGGAGCGAAAGCGUGGGGAGCAAACAGG